rnacentral:rRNA from 1 species
GUGGGGAAUCUUGCGCAAUGGGCGAAAGCCUGACGCAGCCAUGCCGCGUGAAUGAUGAAGGUCUUAGGAUUGUAAAAUUCUUUCACCGGGGACGAUAAUGACGGUACCCGGAGAAGAAGCUCCGGCUAACUUCGUGCCAGCAGCCGCGGUAAUACGAAGGGGGCUAGCGUUGCUCGGAAUUACUGGGCGUAAAGGGCGCGUAGGCGGACAGCUUAGUCAGAGGUGAAAGCCCAGGGCUCAACCUUGGAAUUGCCUUUGAUACUGGCUGUCUUGAGUUUGGGAGAGGUGAGUGGAACUCCGAGUGUAGAGGUGAAAUUCGUAGAUAUUCGGAAGAACACCAGUGGCGAAGGCGACUCACUGGCCCAAUACUGACGCUGGGGCGCGAAAGCGUGGGGAGCAAACAGGAUUAGAAACCCCGGUAGUCC